CUGCCCUACGGGGCGCAGCAGUGGGGAAUAUUGCACAAUGGGGGAAACCCUGAUGCAGCAACGCCGCGUGAGUGAAGAAGUAUUUCGGUAUGUAAAGCUCUAUCAGCAGGGAAGAAGAUGACGGUACCUGAUUAAGAAGCCCCGGCUAACUACGUGCCAGCAGCCGCGGUAAUACGUAGGGGGCAAGCGUUAUCCGGAUUUACUGGGUGUAAAGGGAGCGCAGACGGCAGUGCAAGCCAGGAGUGAAAGCCCGGGGCCCAACCCCGGGACUGCUCUUGGAACUGCGCGGCUGGAGUGCAGGAGGG
rnacentral:rRNA from 1 species